rnacentral:rRNA from 1 species
CGGACGGGUGAGUAAUGUCUGGGAAACUGCCUGAUGGAGGGGGAUAACUACUGGAAACGGUAGCUAAUACCGCAUAACGUCGCAAGACCAAAGAGGGGGACCUUAGGGCCUCUUGCCAUCGGAUGUGCCCAGAUGGGAUUAGCUAGUAGGUGGGGUAACGGCUCACCUAGGCGACGAUCCCCAGCUGGUCUGAGAGGAUGACCAGCCACACUGGAACUGAGACACGGUCCAG